rnacentral:rRNA from 1 species
CACGUAGUUAGCCGUGGCUUUCUGGUUAGGUACCGUCAAGGCAUGAGCUUAUUCAACUCACACUUGUUCUUCCCUAACAACAGAGCUUUACGACCCGAAGGCCUUCAUCGCCACGCGGCGUUGCUCCGUCAGACUUUCGUCCAUUGCGGAAGAUUCCCUACUGCUGCCUCCCGUAGGAGUCUGGGCCGUGUCUCAGUCCCAGUGUGGCCGAUCACCCUCUCAGGUCGGCUACGCAUCGUCGCCUUGGUGAGCCGUUACCUCACCAACUAGCUAAUGCGACGCGGGUCCAUCCAUAAGUGACAGCCGAAGCCGCCUUUCAAUCUUGCACCAUGCGGUGCUAGAUGUUAUCCGGUAUUAGCCCCGGUUUCCCGGAGUUAUCCCAGUCUUAUGGGCAGGUUACCCACGUGUUACUCACCCGUCCGCCGCUAACUUCUUAAGAGCAAGCUCUUAAUCCGUUCGCUCGACUUGCAUGUAUUAGGCACGCCGCCAGCGUUCA